AGUGACACUGCGCCGAAAAUGUGCCGGGGCUAAACAUAUUACCGAAGCUGUGGAUUGUCCUUUGGACAAUGGUAGGAGAGCGUUCUAAGGGCGUCGAAGCAUGAUCGCAAGGACAUGUGGAGCGCUUAGAAGUGAGAAUGCCGGUGUGAGUAGCGAAAGACGGGUGAGAAUCCCGUCCACCGAUUGACUAAGGUUUCCAGAGGAAGGCUCGUCCGCUCUGGGUUAGUCGGGUCCUAAGCUGAGGCCGACAGGCGUAGGCGAUGGAUAACAGGUUGAUAUUCCUGUACCACCUAGCAUCGUUUUAAUCGAUGGGGGGACGCAGUAGGAUAGGCGAAGCGUGCUGUUGGAGUGCACGUCCAAGCAGUAAGGCUGAGUGUUAGGCAAAUCCGGCACUCAUAAGGCUGAGCUGUGAUGGGGAGAGGAAAUUGUUUCCUCGAGUCGUUGAUUUCACACUGCCGAGAAAAGCCUCUAGAUAGAUAACAGGUGCCCGUACCGCAAACCGA
rnacentral:rRNA from 1 species